UUCAAUUUUUAGAAACUCUCAAAGUUCAUUACAUGCCCAAAAUCACUGUAAUCUAUUGUCAAAAUUAUUUGUGAUCUAUCAGCUAAUAGGUCCUUCUUCAUAAUUGUUGAAAACAAACAAUUUGAAACAAUUUGACUCAUAUACAGAUUUGUUACUCAGCUGUUACAGUAAUUCAUUUUGUCAGUUUCUGAGAAGUAUGCCAGAAAAUGAUUAAAGAGUAUGACAAUAUCUAAAGUUCUUAUUGUGUAUAUUGUCAAAUAGCUUCUUAGGAAAUACUUCUAUCAAUGGCAGUCAAGUGAUAAUGUCUUCUCACUAUCACCAUUUUCUUUUAACAUUCAUUAAUUUGAUGGGUGAAGAAAUUACAUUUCACUGCUUUAAUUUGCAUUUUGUAGGUAAUUAUGCCCCUAAUUAUAUUUCAUAUGUUUAUUAGUGAAUUCAUAAAACCAGAAAAGGAAUCUCUAUAGUCUAUAUUGUGUUCAUAUUUGUUCAUAUUUGUGUAUUGAAUGGGUAUAAAUGUAUAGCAAUUAUUUAAUAUAAAUGUUAUAAAAGAGCACCUGGCCCAUAGUUAGUCACACAAAUGUCAUUCAACAAUGGCAUCAUCAUUAUCAUCAGUGGAAAAUGUUUUUCUUAGUUUUUAAAUAAUUUGAUUUUUUUAAAUAUGAAACUUGAUUUUUUCCAUAUUUUUUAUUUAGGUAUUCCAGAGUUCUUUUGAACUGGGAGACCAUUAUUUAAUAAAGAAGGCUUGUGUUUAGAAUAAUACUGAUUCUCGUCAUCUCCUUUAAUUUGUUGACUUAAGUGUAGGAGUUGCUAGAGAAAAGGGACUUCAGUCAUUUUUCAUUCAAUUUGAGGUCUCCUGACUCUCGGUUGUUUUGUACAAAGUUAGUAUUUAAAACGGGGGCAUCCUAUAUCAAAAUAUAUAUAAGUAAGCUCAUUCAUAGGAGUGAAACUCAAAGUUUAAUCACUGGUGUGGCGCGGGCACUGACCCAUCGGAAUGGACAUGGUAUUUCACUGUGGACCUGGUUUGCACUGGUCCAGUUUAUAGCAAAUGGAAAUUAUGGUAAAUAAGGGUUAAGAGGCAUUUGAGUAUUGGGAAACUGGCAUAUAUAUUUGAGAUGUAAAAGUGUUUUCUCAAACUUAUACCAACAUGUGUUUAAGUACAAGGUAUAUCUAAGUGCAAUUUUUAUGGAAUUGUCAGUCAUUGGUUAGGGAACAUAUGGAGGCAAUAAUAAAGAAUAAGGAAAAUGAGCUUUUCUAGGUAGAGAAGUACAAUGACUAAGAUUCCAGAGGUACGUGGUUAGUGAAUAAAAAUAUCAAAACAAAUAAACACCAAAUGAACUUUCAGUCCCAGGACACAGAUGACCGUUUAGGAAUGAGGAUACUUUGGCAUCUGAUCUCACACUGUAAGAAGAACUUGCAAAUCUCCGGGUGGAUGCAAAGGUAGCAGAUGACCUCCAAGGAUGUGAGGAACCUUCUCCAACAAAGCUAAGUGGCCGCAUCAGGAUUCAACUGACGGCAAAGCACAUACCAUUCACAAUGGGCCAUAAUGUCAACAACGUAAUCCAGGAAGUAAAACCAAAGUGCUCAAGUAGUGGGUGACUUGAGAGGAUAAAGAAGAGGCAUCCUCUUGAGUUGGUGUAUGGGAGGCCAAGAGUGUCACGCUCAGUACCUCCAAGGGCCUGGAGCUCUGCAGAUGAGUGAUUGCUCGUGGCUAGCUGUCAUUCUGUAUUUAUGAGUUGAUAUGUCAACUGGGACUGAUUCGAGCAUAGAGCACCGCUGAUCUUUUUUAAGGUAAUAAUGCUAUGAUUUCAAAAGGCCUGGCCGGGAUUUAAAGAGACUCAAAAUACCUCACACCACGGUGCCGUGACAAAUAUGCCAACAUCCUCAUAUGUUUCCUGGUAAGGAAUCAGCACAUACCAGGGAAGCCCCGCUCUGAACAUCUCCAACUAGGUUCAUCUUAUCGCGUUUACUAAGAUCCGUGUCUUUUAAGCUUACCAUAGCACAAUAUCACUUAAAAUCUAUGAAUCUGAGCAUGUAUCCUGACCAGUUCCCCAAGUGCGGUCUUGAAGGCUGUGUCUGAUUUGUUUCCCAACAGGUAGAUCUUAGAAACAGGGCAUUCCACCCUGAGGAAAUCACGAGAAACCCCAGAGAAAGGAGGUGGAAGGAAUGGCAAAAUGUGAUGCGGUUGUGUGCAGGGAAGAGGAGAGAAAGAGAGGGGAAAGCCGGAAGUCCCAAGGGUGAUUUUGUUUCCCCUUGUUUCGCUGUUACUGAAAUCCGGGACCCAACAUUCUCUCUGAACUGGGAAUCAUCUCCUAUCUCCUUUAGCAAGAGGCCAUUUGGUUCUACACACCACAUGUAAGAGGAGCAUUGUACUUUGGAAUUCUCAGGCUGAAAUUGGUCAGAAUGCUGCUGGAAUGUGAUACUGGGAACUACUAAUGGCCAUCUUUCCAGGUAAUUUUCUGCAAUAUGAAGACUAAAGCCAACAAACAGACAGAUAUGGUUCGUCAGUAUAUGAAGUAACUUCACCAAGAAUCCACACUGUUAUAGGUGGGUGCUUAGCAUUUCAAAUAUUAUCAAAAUCUUCACCAGAAGGGUUAUUAGUUUAACAGAUGUUAGAAACAAUUUCUUUCUUUCUUUUUAAGUUUAUUUAUUUUAAGAGAAAGCAAGAAGAGGGGAGGGGCAGAGAGAGGAAGAGAGAGGACCCAAGCAGGCUCCAGACCGUUAGCACUGAACCCACCAUGGGGUCCGAACCCAUGAACCUCGGGAUUGUGACCUGAGCCAAGGUCAAAAGUCAGACAGUCAACUGACUGAGAUGCCCAGGUGCCCCUAGAAACAAUUUUUUUUAAUUGGCAAAAUGAGUCAUGUUCAAGACAGACGUGUUUGGUUAGGAACAUCAUGCAGGUAUGAAGUAUAAAAAUCCAGAAAGCUUAGAUUUCUACAAUUAUAAUGCUUGAG